GUGAACGCUGGCGGUAGGCCUAACACAUGCAAGUCGAACGGCAGCACAGUAAGAGCUUGCUCUUACGGGUGGCGAGUGGCGGACGGGUGAGGAAUACAUCGGAAUCUACUUUUUCGUGGGGGAUAACGUAGGGAAACUUACGCUAAUACCGCAUACGACCUACGGGUGAAAGCAGGGGAUCUUCGGACCUUGCGCGAUUGAAUGAGCCGAUGUCGGAUUAGCUAGUUGGCGGGGUAAAGGCCCACCAAGGCGACGAUCCGUAGCUGGUCUGAAAGGAUGAUCAGCCACACUGGAACUGAGACACGGUCCAGACUCCUACGGGAGGCAGCAGUGGGGAAUAUUGGACAAUGGGCGCAAGCCUGAUCCAGCCAUACCGCGUGGGUGAAGAAGGCCUUCGGGUUGUAAAGCCCUUUUGUUGGGAAAGAAAAGCAGCAGGUUAAUACCCCGCUGUUCUGACGGUACCCAAAGAAUAAGCACCGGCUAACUUCGUG
rnacentral:rRNA from 1 species